GGGUUGUGAGGUUAAGCGACUAAGCGUACACGGUGGAUGCCCUGGCAGUCAGAGGCGAUGAAGGGCGUGCUAAUCUGCGAUAAGCGCCGGUAAGGUGAUAUGAACCGUUAUAACCGGCGAUACCCGAAUGGGGAAACCCAGUGUGACUCGUCACACUAUCAUUAACUGAAUCCAUAGGUUAAUGAGGCGAACCGGGGGAACUGAAACAUCUAAGUACCCCGAGGAAAAGAAAUCAACCGAGAUUCCCCCAGUAGCGGCGAGCGAACGGGGAGGAGCCCAGAGCCUGAAUCAGCAUGUGUGUUAGUGGAAGCGUCUGGAAAGGCGCGCGAUACAGGGUGACAGCCCCGUACACAAAAGCGCAUGUGCUGUGAGCUCGAUGAGUAGGGCGGGACACGUGGUAUCCUGUCUGAAUAUGGGGGGACCAUCCUCCAAGGCUAAAUACUCCUGACUGACCGAUAGUGAACCAGUACCGUGAGGGAAAGGCGAAAAGAACCCCGGCGAGGGGAGUGAAAAAGAACCUGAAACCGUGUACGUACAAGCAGUGGGAGCACCCUUUGGGGUGUGACUGCGUACCUUUUGUAUAAUGGGUCAGCGACUUAUAUUCUGUAGCAAGGUUAACCGAAUAGGGGAGCCGCAGGGAAACCGAGUCUUAAUUGGGCGUUAAGUUGCAGGGUAUAGACCCGAAACCCGGUGAUCUAGCCAUGGGCAGGUUGAAGGUUGGGUAACACUAACUGGAGGACCGAACCGACUAAUGUUGAAAAAUUAGCGGAUGACCUGUGGCUGGGGGUGAAAGGCCAAUCAAACCGGGAGAUAGCUGGUUCUCCCCGAAAGCUAUUUAGGUAGCGCCUCGUGAAUUCAUCUCCGGGGGUAGAGCACUGUUUCGGCUAGGGGGCCAUCCCGGCUUACCAACCCGAUGCAAACUGCGAAUACCGGAGAAUGUUAUCACGGGAGACACACGGCGGGUGCUAACGUCCGUCGUGAAGAGGGAAACAACCCAGACCGCCAGCUAAGGUCCCAAAGUCAUGGUUAAGUGGGAAACGAUGUGGGAAGGCCCAGACAGCCAGGAUGUUGGCUUAGAAGCAGCCAUCAUUUAAAGAAAGCGUAAUAGCUCACUGGUCGAGUCGGCCUGCGCGGAAGAUGUAACGGGGCUAAACCAUGCACCGAAGCUGCGGCAGCGACGCUUAUGCGUUGUUGGGUAGGGGAGCGUUCUGUAAGCCUGCGAAGGUGGCCUGUGAGGGUUGCUGGAGGUAUCAGAAGUGCGAAUGCUGACAUAAGUAACGAUAAAGCGGGUGAAAAGCCCGCUCGCCGGAAGACCAAGGGUUCCUGUCCAACGUUAAUCGGGGCAGG
rnacentral:rRNA from 1 species